GGGGCAACCCUUAGUAGAGCGGCGCACGGGUGCGUAACACGUGGGUAAUCUGCCUGGGUGACUGGGACAACCUGCCGAAAGGCUGGCUAAUACCAGAUAAGCUCACGGCUUCCUUGGAAGCUGAGAGAAAAGGUGGCCUCUGCAUGCAAGCUAUCACAUCCAGAUGAGCCCGCGGCCCAUCAGCUAGUUGGCGGGGUAAUGGCCCACCAAGGCAACGACGGGUAGCUGGUCUGAGAGGACGAUCAGCCACACUGGAACUGAGACACGGUCCAGACUCCUACGGGAGGCAGCAGUGGGGAAUUUUGCACAAUGGGCGAAAGCCUGAUGCAGCAACGCCGCGUGUGUGAUGAAGGUCUUCGGAUUGUAAAGCACUUUCGACCGGGACGAAAACCCGUUGGCUAAUAUCCAGCGGCUUGACGGUACCGGGAGAAGAAGCACCGGCUAACUCUGUGCCAGCAGCCGCGGUAAUACAGAGGGUGCAAGCGUUGUUCGGAAUUAUUGGGCGUAAAGCGCGUGUAGGCGGCUUCGCAAGUCGGGUGUGAAAUCCCUCAGCUCAACUGAGGAAGUGCGCCCGAAACUGCGUUGCUUGAGUACCGGAGAGGGUCGCGGAAUUCCCCAAGUAGAGGUGAAAUUCGUAGAUAUGGGGAGGAACACCGGUGGCGAAGGCGGCGACCUGGACGGAUACUGACGCUGAGACGCGAAAGCGUGGGUAGC
rnacentral:rRNA from 1 species